AAUAUCCUGUUGGAAACUCGCACUUCCCAUACUCUGCAGAGAAGAGAAAAUUUGCAAAAUUAUUACUAUUUAUUUUCAGCAUUUUACGUUAUUAAAAAGGAAAAAAAAGUUACGAAAGAUUCUCCAUCACAUCAUGGCCACUCAUGUGCUGCCAUUUUUGACAUUAAUUAAACCUGACCUGGCGUGCACCAUUCAUUGCUGUCCCAAACUCGGUGGACUGUCAGCGCAUGUUAUCAAUCUACUAUAUUAAUUAUCUAACAUAAGAGGAAAGAGCAAAAUACACACUUGGUGCUUGGGUGACGACAUAUGCUGCUCCUCCAAAAUAACAGGCACCAAUGUCCCGCCCUUUCUUCUGAUAGUAGCUGUUGAAGGCGACAGACGCGUGGGCCUCAAUAGUGUUAGGAUCGUAACACGUGGCGU
rnacentral:misc_RNA from 1 species